GCACNNNCUCUANCGGUGCGUCAGAUWAUUUGUUUUUUGCGGCUGYCCGCCCGGGCAGUGCCGCGACGCUACCAUCUGCUGGAUAAUGGCUGAACGCCUCUAAGUCAGAAUCCAUGCCAGAACGCGACGAUACCUCCCGCACGUACAGAUGGACACGAAUAGGCUUCGGCUUAGCGUCUUAGCAGGCGAUUACUCCACUGCUCUCGAAGCGAGUAGUGGUAUUUCGCGAAUUGUAAUUUCAGCACGAGCGGGGGUAAAUCCUUUGCAGACGACUUAGAUGUGCGAAAGGGUCVGHMUUGGCACAUUGCGGCGGCGGAGAAGGGCGUCCGGGCCUUGUACCUUUUGAUGUGA
rnacentral:ncRNA from 1 species